GACGAACCGUGCGAACGUUGUUCGGAAUCACUGGGCUUAAAGGGCGCGUAGGCGGCUCGCGAGGUCGGGGGUGAAAUCCCACGGCUCAACCGUGGAAGUGCCCCCGAUACUGCUUGUCUUGAGGGAGAUAGGGGCGUGCGGAACUUCCGGUGGAGCGGUGAAAUGCGUAGAUAUCGGAAGGAACACCGGUGGCGAAAGCGGCGCGCUGGAUCUCUUCUGACGCUGAGGCGCGAAAGCCAGGGGAGCAAACGGG
rnacentral:rRNA from 1 species